rnacentral:lncRNA from 1 species
AAUGCUUGAUGAUGCGCCUCGUAUAUUCGAGGCUGUUUUCCAGUGUACCCUUGAGGUAGGAAUUACAACCUUGUUUGAUUGUUCGGUCUGGCCAGAUGAUUACUAAAAAUUUCGAAGAUUAUCUUGAGCCCGCCUCAAGUUUUUUUUUUCUUUACUUCAUGCUAUUGGCACCCAUUGCUUCAAAGCUUUAAUUCAGCUUUCCAGACAGGUUUAUGAUGACUUUUUUAAUUGCUACUAUCAGCUCCUUCGAUGUUAUCUAUUAAUACAGAAACCCAAAUUACUUCUCUUGAAUUUGAUCAUUGGACUAUUUGUUUCAGCAAUUGAAGCUUGUGAUGUAUUCGAUUAACUAAGUAUGCUUCCUGCUAUUUUUUUACACUAUUGUUAAUGCCAAACUGUUGUCAUGACUUACUGGUGAAAUUUAGAAGUGAUAUAUUUGCACAUAUAUACGGGUAUUUAACUUAACAUGAUCUGCAUGUUCUGAAUCUGCAGUUCUGCACUAUGCUCUGCUGGAUGUCGCCUAAGCAGAGGAUGCGGCAGUCUCGGCCACAUUUGGUUUUCCUAAGCUAAUGUGGGGUUUCUUUCCCUUAUAUUCUUGCAAGAUGUGGUAAUAUGUUUCAUGCCGUCUCCUGUUCGAUGAAAUGCCUGUGAGCUGAAACAUUUUGCAUUGCAUGUUUCUCUGCCUGUGCAGGUUCUUUGUUGGUUCGUUCGACCAUGCCGUUAACCAACAAGGUUAGGUCUAUUCAGAUUGCCUUGGGUUAUUACUUCUUGAUAAUAUAGGCCGUGAACUCCUGCAUUUGUGCGGCUAGGUUGCCUGUCUAUGUGUUUCGGGGUUCACCUUAUUAUGCUUGUCGUGCUUUGUAUGGGUUUUCCUUCAGAUCUUGUUAGAAAAAAAAUGUGUUCUUGAUUACUUAUGCUUGUCUUGGUGGUUUUCUUCCUGGGUGAUUGUGUGCUCAUAUGCCAUUGGUCGAUAUCCAUGUUUACAGAGGAUGCCCACUUUUCUUAGUUUCAUACCGAUUCUUAAUAGUCUUGCAAUGCCUGCUCGGGUUAGUUCUUUAAAUGAGUAGAGAUAAUAAAUGUAUGGGGGUUCCGAUAUCAAAUGUACCACCUGGUUAUUGUUUACCCAACUAAUACGUGCUGCUUGGUGAUAAAGGAAAAACAGCUAGAAAAAUAAUUAAUAAAGUGUACCAUCUGCUUAUUGUUUUAUACACAGUCGCUUGAUUCUUUUGUUCCUCUAUAGGCCUCUGAUCAUGUCUGCAGUGUGCGGCUAGGUUGUUCGUCCGUCUGGGUCGUAGGUUCUUUCCUUCCUGCCAACGGCGGGUACAAGACUCGAGCUUCUUUCCUUCCUGCCAACGGCGGGUACAAGACUCGAGCGGUUAAUGGGCAAGCACUAUAUGCACCAUUCAUCUAUGCUAAUAUAGCCUGUUUUGUAAAGCCAAUGUAUGCUAUCACCAAGUGAUCUGAAUAUUUUCUUUCAAGCAUCAAGCUUUCGUGUAAUGGAAUAUAAGUAUUUUAAGUUGAUUCUAAAUCAAUCUCAUACACAUGCUUUGAAUGCUUGGCUCACUCGCUUUUUGCGUCAU